rnacentral:rRNA from 1 species
GACGAACGCUGGCGGCGCGCUUAACACAUGCAAGUCGAGCGAAGCGGCGGACGGGUGAGUAACACGUGAGUAACCUGCCUUAGACAUUGGGAUAGCCUCGGGAAACCGGGAUUAAUACCAAAUGGUCUAAGAUGGACUCGCGUCCCAUUAGCUAGUUGGUGGGUAACGGCCCACCAAGGCGACGACGGGUAGCCGGCAUUAGAGGGUGAACGGCGACAUUGGAACUGAGAAACGGUCCAAACUCUGCGCGAGGCAGCAGUGGGGAAUAUUGCACAAUGGAGGGAAUUCUGAUGCACCGAGGCCGCGUGAACGAAGAAGGCUUUCGAGUCAUAAAGUUCUUUUAUAUGGGAAGCGGUACCAUAAGAAAAAGCCCCGGCUAACUACGUGCCAGCCGCCGCGGUAAUUC